rnacentral:rRNA from 1 species
UACGAAGGGGGGCUAGCGUUGCUCGGAAUCACUGGGCGUAAAGGGUGCGUAGGCGGGUUUUUAAGUCAGGGGUGAAAUCCUGGAGCUCAACUCCAGAACUGCCUUUGAUACUGAAGAUCUUGAGUCCGGGAGAGGUGAGUGGAACUGCGAGUGUAGAGGUGAAAUUCGUAGAUAUUACGCAAGAACACCAGUGGCGAAGGCGGCUCACUGGCCCGAUACUGACGCUGAGGUGCGAAAGCGUGGGGAGCAAACAGG